UACGGGGGGGGGCAAGCGUUGUUCGGAAUUAUUGGGCGUAAAGAGCUCGUAGGCGGUCUGUUGCGUCCGCUGUGAAAACUCGGGGCUUAACCCCGAGCCUGCAGUGGAUACGGGCAGACUAGAGGUAGGUAGGGGGAGAAUGGAAUUCCCGGUGUAGCGGUGAAAUGCGCAGAUAUCGGGAGGAACACCGGUGGCGAAGGCGGUUCUCUGGGCCUUACCUGACGCUGAGGAGCGAAA
rnacentral:rRNA from 1 species